UGGGGAAUAUUGGACAAUGGGGGAAACCCUGAUCCAGCGACGCCGCGUGUGUGAAGAAGGCCUGCGGGUUGUAAAGCACUUUCGGUGGGAACGAAAUAUGCCGGGCUAAUACCCCGGUAGGCUGACGUUACUCAAUGAAGAAGCACCGGCUAACUCUGUGCCAGCAGCCGCGGUAAUACAGAGGGUGCGAGCGUUAAUCGGAAUUACUGGGCGUAAAGCGCACGUAGGUGGCUAUGUAAGUCGGGUGUGAAAUCCCCGGGCUCAACCUGGGAACUGCAUUCGAUACUGCUUAACUAGAGUAUGGUAGAGGGAAGUGGAAUUUCCGGUGUAGCGGUGAAAUGCGUAGAUAUCGGAAGGAACACCAGUGGCGAAGGCGACUUCCUGGGCCAAUACUGACACUGAGGUGCGAAAGCGUGGGUAGCAAACAGGAUUAGAUACCCUAGUAGUCCCUGAGCGGGCUGGCAAGGCGCAU
rnacentral:rRNA from 1 species